CCUACGGUGGGCAGCAGUGGGGAAUAUUGGACAAUGGGCGAAAGCCUGAUCCAGCCAUGCCGCGUGUGUGAAGAAGGCCUUCGGGUUGUAAAGCACUUUCAGUGGGGAAGAAAGCCUUGGGGCUAAUACCCUCGAGGAAGGACAUCACCCACAGAAGAAGCACCGGCUAACUCCGUGCCAGCAGCCGCGGUAAUACGGAGGGUGCGAGCGUUAAUCGGAAUUACUGGGCGUAAAGCGCGCGUAGGCGGUCUGAUAAGCCGGUUGUGAAAGCCCCGGGCUCAACCUGGGAACGGCAUCCGGAACUGUCAGGCUAGAGUGCAGGAGAGGAAGGUAGAAUUCCCGGUGUAGCGGUGAAAUGCGUAGAGAUCGGGAGGAAUAACAGUGGCGAAGGCGGCCUUCUGGACUGACACUGACGCUGAGGUGCGAAAGCGUGGGUAGCAAACAGGAUUAGAUACCCUGGUAGUC
rnacentral:rRNA from 1 species